rnacentral:antisense_RNA from 2 species
UGUGGGAGGGGGCUUGCUCCCGAUAGCAGUGGUUCAGUUGGCAAAUGUGGUGACUGAUACACCGCUAUCGGGAGCAAGCCCCCUCCCACA